AGUGAACGCUGGCGGUAGGCCUAACACAUGCAAGUCGAACGGCAGCACAGUAAGAGCUUGCUCUUACGGGUGGCGAGUGGCGGACGGGUGAGGAAUACAUCGGAAUCUACUUUUUCGUGGGGGAUAACGUAGGGAAACUUACGCUAAUACCGCAUACGACCUACGGUUGAAAGCAGGGGAUCUUCGGACCUUGCGCGAUUGAAUGAGCCGAUGUCGGAUUAGCUAGUUGGCGGGGUAAAGGCCCACCAAGGCGACGAUCCGUAGCUGGUCUGAGAGGAUGAUCAGCCACACUGGAACUGAGACACGGUCCAGACUCCUACGGGAGGCAGCAGUGGGGAAUAUUGGACAAUGGGCGCAAGCCUGAUCCAGCCAUACCGCGUGGGUGAAGAAGGCCUUCGGGUUGUAAAGCCCUUUUGUUGGGAAAGAAAAGCAGCAGGUUAAUACCCCGCUGUUCUGACGGUACCCAAAGAAUAAGCACAGGCUAACUUCGUG
rnacentral:rRNA from 1 species